rnacentral:rRNA from 1 species
CCUACGGGUGGCAGCAGUGAGGAAUAUUGGUCAAUGGGCGCUAGCCUGAACCAGCCAAGUAGCGUGAAGGAUGACUGCCCUAUGGGUUGUAAACUUCUUUUAUAUGGGAAUAAAGUGCAGUAUGUAUACUACUUUGCAUGUACCUUAUGAAUAAGGAUCGGCUAACUCCGUGCCAGCAGCCGCGGUAAUACGGAGGAUCCGAGCGUUAUCCGGAUUUAUUGGGUUUAAAGGGAGCGUAGGCGGGUUGUUAAGUCAGUUGUGAAAGUUUGCGGCUCAACCCCGGCGAGCCGUUGAAACUGGCUGUCUAGAGAUGUCGAGAGGUAGGCGGAAUGCGUAGUGUAGCGGUGAAAUGCUUAGAUAUUGCGCAGAACUCCGAUGGCGAAGGCAGCAUACCGGCGGCGAGCUGACGCUGAGGCACGAAAGCGUGGGUAUCGAACAGGAUUAGAUACCCCAGUAGUC